rnacentral:rRNA from 1 species
GACGAACGCUGGCGGCGUGCUUAACACAUGCAAGUCGAACGAUGAAGAAGAGAAACGCGAACUUCGGUUCAAAUUUCACUUCGGAUUAGUGGCAGACGGGUGAGUAACGCGUGAGCAACCUACCUCUUACAAAGGGAUAGCCUCGGGAAACCGUGAUUAAUACCAUAUGACACAUUCAUAAGGCAUCUUAAGAAUGUUAAAGCUACGGCGGUAAGAGAUGGGCUCGCGUCCCAUUAGCUAGUUGGUGAGGUAACGGCCCACCAAGGCGACGAUGGGUAACCGGACUGAGAGGGGGAACGGUGACAUUGGAACUGAGACACGGUCCAAACUCCUACGGGAGGCAGCAGUGGGGAAUAUUGCACAAUGGAGGGAACUCUGAUGCAGCGACGCCGCGUGAGAGAUGAAGGAAUUCGUUUCGUAAAGCUCUGUUCUAUGGGAAGAAAAGGACUGUACCAUAGGAGAAAGCCCCGGCUAAAUACGUG